AUUCCAGCUCCAAUAGCGUAUAUUUAAGUUGUUGCAGUUAAAAAGCUCGUAGUUGGAUUUCGGGUGAGGAUGACCGGUCUGCCGUUUCGGUACGCACUGGACGUUUUCAUCUUGUUGUCGGGGACGCGCUUCUGGGCUUCACUGUUCGGGACGCGGAGUCGGCGCUGUUACUUUGAAAAAAUUAGAGUGUUCAAAGCAGGCAAUCGCUCUGAAUACAUUAGCAUGGAAUAACGCUAUAGGACUCUGGUCCUAUUGUGUUGGUCUUCGGGACCGGAGUAAUGAUUAACAGGGACAGUUGGGGGUAUUCAUAUUUACAUGUCAGAGGUGAAAUUCUUGGAUUUUGGAAAGAUGAACUACUGCGAAGGCAUUUACCAAGGAUGUUUUCAUUG
rnacentral:rRNA from 1 species